AUUGAACGCUGGCGGCAGGCCUAACACAUGCAAGUCGAGCGAGCGGCGGACGGGUGAGUAAUGUCUGGGAAACUGCCUGAUGGAGGGGGAUAACUACUGGAAACGGUAGCUAAUACCGCAUACCAUCAGAUGUGCCCAGAUGGUAUUAGCUAGUAGGUGGGGUAACGGCUCACCUAGGCGACGAUCCCUAGCUGGUCUGAGAGGAUGACCAGCCACACUGGAACUGAGACACGGUCCAGACUCCUACGGGAGGCAGCAGUGGGGAAUAUUGGACAAUGGACGGAAGCCUGAGAGAGCAAUGCCGCGUGUGUGAAGAAGGCCUUCGGGGUGUAAAGCACUUUCAGCAGGGAGGCGGUACCCGCAGAAGAAGCACCGGCUAACUCCGUGCCAGCAGCCGCGGUAAUUC
rnacentral:rRNA from 1 species